AUUGAACGCUGGCGGCAUGCCUUACACAUGCAAGUCGAACGGCAGCACGGGAGCAAUCCUGGUGGCGAGUGGCGAACGGGUGAGUAAUAUAUCGGAACGUGCCCAGUCGUGGGGAUAACGUAGCGAAAGCUACGCUAAUGCCGCAUACGAUCUACGGAUGAAAGCGGGGGAUCGCAAGACCUCGCGCGAUUGGAGCGGCCGAUAUCAGAUUAGGUAGUUGGUGAGGUAAAGGCUCACCAAGCCGACGAUCUGUAGCUGGUCUGAGAGGACGACCAGCCACACUGGGACUGAGACACGGCCCAGACUCCUACGGGAGGCAGCAGUGGGGAAUUUUGGGACAAUGGGCGCAAGCCUGAUCCAGCAAUGCCGCGUGCAGGAUGAAGGCCU
rnacentral:rRNA from 1 species